GGCCUGAACCAAUUUGAUACUUAUUUAAAGCUGCCUGUUUUAACCCUAUCCAGUUUUAGUUAGAACCUGUUUUGACCCAAAUCCAGUUUGACUUGCAUCCGUUUUGAUUCGUUACCCAUCACAACCCACCCCACCUUUUUUCAGGCUUUAUUCAGACUAUUGUCGGUGCAUUCAAAGUUAUGAUGGAAAGAUUAUAUAUAUAUGUGUGUAUUUUGUUUAAUAUGUAAUCUUUUUUUUGUUUGUGAUGUUGCAGAGGAAGAAAACGUUGCUGAAAGAUUACGAGAGGAGUGGCAAGUCAUUAGUGUUUGUCGAUAAACGAAUUGGUGAGCAGAAUGAGGAUCUCGGUGAGUUUGAUAAGGCCAUUCUCCGAUCUCAAUGAGAAUUGCGGGUUAAACAUAGUAAGAAAAGCAGGUAUAAUCUAUCCGACGGCGAAGAAGACGAGUAUGAGGAUCAAGAGGGCGGUUUGUACGCUGAACGAGACGAUUUUUGUUGGAUCGUCCGGUGACCCUAAACAGACAGUAUGAGUAGUUCAUCAUCAUUUACAAAGGCGGAAUCAAUGCAGACAAUGUCAAACAGCUUGUUCCUUUUCAAUUCUUUUCUAUUACUGAUUUCCU